rnacentral:rRNA from 1 species
GAUGAACGCUGGCGGCGUGCCUAAUACAUGCAAGUCGAGCGAACGGACGAGAAGCUUGCUUCUCUGAUGUUAGCGGCGGACGGGUGAGUAACACGUGGAUAACCUACCUAUAAGACUGGGAUAACUUCGGGAAACCGGAGCUAAUACCGGAUGAUAUUUUGAACCGCAUGGUUCAAAAGUGAAAGACGGUCUUGCUGUCACUUAUAGAUGGAUCCGCGUUGCAUUAGCUAGUUGGUAAGGUAACGGCUUACCAAGGCAACGAUGCAUAGCCGACCUGAGAGGGUGAUCGGCCACACUGGAACUGAGACACGGUCCAGACUCCUACGGGAGGCAGCAGUAGGGAAUCUUCCGCAAUGGGCGAAAGCCUGACGGAGCAACGCCGCGUGAGAGAUGAAGGUCUUCGGAUCGUAAAACUCUGUUAUUAGGGAAGAACAUAUGUGUAAGUAACUGUGCACAUCUUGACGGUACCUAAUCAGAAAGCCACGGCUAACUACGUG